rnacentral:rRNA from 1 species
AAAACAUCGCCUCCUGCAACAUAACCAAGUAUAGGAGGUCCAGCCUGCCCAGUGACUACAAGUUUAACGGCCGCGGUAUUUUGACCGUGCAAAGGUAGCGCAAUCACUUGUCUUUUAAAUGGAGACCUGUAUGAAUGGCUAAACGAGGGCUUAACUGUCUCCCUUUUCAAGUCAGUGAAAUUGAUCUACCCGUGCAGAAGCGGGUAUAAUAAUACAAGACGAGAAGACCCUUUGGAGCUUAAGGUACAAAACUCAACCGCGUUAAACAACUCAAUAAAAAGCAAAAACCUUACGGAACCUGAAAUUUUACCUUCGGUUGGGGCGACCACGGAGGAAAAUAAAGCCUCCAAGUGGACUGGGACAACCUCCUAAAACCAAGAGAGACAUCUCUAAGCCACAGAACAUCUGACCAAACAUGAUCCGGUCACCAAGACCGAUCAACGAACCAAGUUACCCUAGGGAUAACAGCGCAAUCCUCUCCCAGAGUCCAUAUCGACGAGGGGGUUUACGACCUCGAUGUUGGAUCAGGACAUCCUAAUGGUGCAGCCGCUAUUAAGGGUUCGUUUGUUCAACGAUUAAAGUCCUACGUGA